rnacentral:rRNA from 1 species
CACCGCGGUUAUACGUGUAACCCAAGAUGACAGAAACCGGCGUAAAGAGUGGUUAGGGAAAACAAGAACUAAAGCUGAACACCUUUUUGACCGUAUAACGUAUUCAAAAUUAGAAAAUCCAUCACGAAAGUAGCUUUAACCCCCCCCUGAUUCCACGAAAGCUAUUAAA